GCUCCAGCAAUCAAAACAGCAGGAUCUCAAGCCUGGGGUUCAACCCAAGCUCUGAAAGUGCAUAAUAGGACCAUCACACCUCCGUUUUGGCCAAGGUUCAUCAUCUUAUUGCUGAGGUUCCAGUGAUGAUAUACCAACUGCAGAAUCAAGGCAGGCAAUAAAACCAGUUAACAUAUUUCUCCAGGCAACUUCUGCCAUUUGCAUUGUAACAGAGAACAUUUGUGUGAGAAAUCUGUUCACUUCCAAGUUUAAUAAAAGACUCUCAAAUCAUUCUUGAUCUGCAAUUUGUCUUGGUAGCGUGAAUGAUUCCUUUACCUAGUGGCUGCAACACAGAGAUACAAACAGUUGGAUGAAAAGAACUCUAUCCAUCACUUUUUCCUAAUGUCUUUGGAGACAAAGUUAUGGGCAGAACAGUUAUUCAUAGACAAAGCAAUUUUUCCUGCCUUUCAUCCAGGAGCCAAGACUGAGAAGCCCAUCUUUGAACAGCUCUACAGUCACUUAUGUAAUUGUGUUAGACCAGCAAUUACAAAGCAACUGUUCAUGUUUUCAGAGUGCCUAGGCCUUUUGUAUUUGUCAGUUUAUUAAUAACUUCCAUUUACCUGUGCCACUUGCAUUGCACAAUGGUAAUGAUAACUGCUGUUUUUACAUCUUCCUCCCCCCACAGCCCCAACAGCAAUCAACCCUUCCAGCUAGAAUUCUUUAUGCUGACACACAAUAGAAAGGCCAGCCUCAUCUGCAUUAUAUAAAACCAGUGUAAGUAAUUUUUUAAUGCUUUGCUGUUCAGUCACUUGCUAGAAAGAGGAGGUAUCUAUAGGCCCAACCUCCCAUAAAGCAUUUUAGCAGUAAUGCUACAAUGCUUGUGAAAGUGAUACAGCAUGCCAGUACCAGCUUUAAAAUUGUUAGCACUGUUUAUCUGCAACUUCCCCUGACUUACAAGGCUUGCUGAGAAGUUUUUACCUUCCCUGUCCACAUCUUUGAAAAUCCCCAGUGCAGACACCAUUCCUGAUUGGUCUAAACAUGCCACACUGGAUUUUGCUUUCCUUUAUGCCUGUUUUUUUUUGUUUUUUGGGGGGUUUUUUAAUGUAACCAGAGCUGAUAGUACUGUUAUAUUUUGGAGCAUACCACUCUUCUAUAGAUUUCAAUAUUCAUUUAUUUUAUACAUUGUAAUUGGUCCUUCAAAGAAAAUUGCUUACCUUUACCCUCUUCCUCCACUGCAAUCAACCCACAAUGGCAUGGGAUACACAGAGAUGCAAAUGUGGGUUUUUACAUAAGACAUUUACUGUAUGUAGUACUGGUAGGUGAAUGAUGAGAGAAAGAAGGAAAAGUAUGCAUGACGCAGGUAGUUGUGUUCCAUUUUUACAUUUAAUUUAUCUGCUACUGUUGUAUCUGCUGUUGAAGUUCAUUUUACUGAUCAUAACUGGAGACCCCCUGAGUGAAAUCUAAAGUUAUAACUGAAAUUUCUCAUACUGAAAUAUAGUAACAUAGACUCACGUGGGGGGUGAAGCAAGAAUUUAAGUUUUGCUUCUUAUACUGACAUUUUCAUUCUGACAAGAUUUCAUUUUUGCUGUAGUGCAUCCAUAUCUGGAUCAGCUGAAUGUAGUUAAUACAAAACUCAUUAGAUUAUUAGAUCAUGUAUGAAUCUACAGGCAUGAUUAUUCUGAUACCUGGUAUUUGCAUGCUUCCCCUACCAGGUUAAUUAACUUUGCCCACUCCUAAAACUGAACAUUUGAUAUUACCUUAUAUUUGUAAUCUUUAUAAAAUUAUGACUACUGUCUCAUGAUACUCCACUAUCGGUUUCAAGCCACUGUUGCAUCAAAUGCAUCCUGAAGAUCUGUGAUCAAAAAAGUAAAACACACAUGGACUUGGAGCUAACACCAUAUAUUUGUAAGUAAAAUUAGUAAACAUGACAAAACAAGAUUACAAAUGAUGUAUCAAGCCCUUUCAAGAAUUUGAAAAAUACAAGAAAAAGAUUAAUUUUACACUUUAAAGCAACACCACAAUGGGGUAUGCAUAUUACCAAAACCACAGCUACUUUUAUAUGUUCCCAAAAGCAGUUUCAGAUGAAACGGUGAUAUUCCCUACCACCAGUACAACCACAGACACAGAUGUUAGUUUGGUUACAGCUUCAGGAAUCAGUGCAGUACAGUGCAAAUUUCAUUCACAGGUUACUAUGGAUUUUGAGUAGAUGCAAGACAAUACUACAGAAAUACAAGUAGAAAUUUAUAGAUUUCAUCUCAGGAAAAAAAGUGCUGAAAACUUAAGCAUACCAUACAAACAAACUGUAAAAGUACACAAAAGGAUGGAAUUCUGAAGCAAGACAAGUAAGUAUUAAUUGUGUAUGCGACAGCUUAAGAAAAAAGGAAGCUAAACUUAAUCAUUAGUACAGAUAUACACAAGGGAAUCUGAAUGAUUUUUUUCCCAAAAAUGUAAAUACAGUCUCCAUUUUAGAAAUAAAAAUAGUUUUACAAGUACUAAAAUUACAAAGCUAAGAUUUGUUGCUUGAAAAUGCUGUCUCUGAACAGUCAAUUUUUCCUCAAUUCUAUGUCAGCUUCCUGCCAAGGAAUAAGAAUACAAUAUAUUCUAGCUAUCCUUUUGAGUACAUACAACUGUUUAUUGCUUUUCUAGUAAUUCUGAAGAUUUCUCCUGGCCCUUACACUCUAAUCCAGAAAGUGUAUUCCCUGUUUAAAAAUAGUUCAAAGAAUGUCAACUUUAUUCUUUAGCACUUUUUAAAGAGGUUAUUUUUCAGUUGAAAACAAAAGACAGUAUUCUCUUACUCCAAUCUAAACCUAUUGUAACAAUUUUCACUUGAAGUAAUGUAUACAGACUGUUCAUGUAGUACGUCUCAUAUUAAUUGCAUUCAGAUAAUUGGGCACUGAAGUGAAGAUUAUAAAUCUAAAUAGCUUUAAUUUCUUUAAAAUAACUCUUAUAUUGUUACAAUGUACAGAUUGGGAGACUAGUGCAAUAUGCGGCAUGGAUUGUUUAUUCAAUAAAUACUUAACCCAAUUAUUGCCAGUCAAGGCAAACAGUGCAGAAAUUGUCACUUUAUAAACAAAGAUCUACAUACAAAUUCAACAAUCAUGUUUUUAUAAAAUCAGUUGAUA